GCACCGUUAGCUCAGUUGGUAGAGCAGCUGACUCUUAAUCAGCGGGUCGGAGGUUCGAGUCCUCCACGGUGUA
rnacentral:tRNA from 1 species